GCGUGCCUAACACAUGCAAGUCGCACGCGCGGUCUCCCUCGGGAGGCAGCGAGUGGCGCACGGGUGAGUAACACAUGGGUACCUGCCUUUCAGUGAGGAAUACCGGCGAGAAAUCGCCGACAAUGCUGCAUAGGCUCUAGGAACUAAGCAGCCUGGAGCAAAGCUGCCUCUCGUGAGGGAGGCAGCGCUGGAAGAGGGGCCUGUGGCCGAUUAGCUGGUUGGUGGGGUAAGAGCCUACCAAGGCCACGAUCGGUAGCUGGUCUGAGAGGACGAGCAGCCACACUGGGAUUGAGAACGGCCCAGACUCCUACGGGGGGCAGCAGUGAGGAAUUUUCGGCAAUGGGGGCAACCCUGACCGAGCAACGCCGCGUGCAGGAAGACGGCCUUCGGGUUGUAAACUGCUUUACUGUGGGACGAGCAAGGACGGUACCACAGCAAUCAGCCCCGGCUAACUACGUGCCAGCAGCCGCGGUAAUACGUAGGGGGCAAGCGUUGUCCGGAGUUACUGGGCGUAAAGGGC
rnacentral:rRNA from 1 species